rnacentral:rRNA from 1 species
GAUCAUGGCUCAGGACGAACGCUGGCGGCGUGCUUCAUACAUGCAAGUCGAACGAGAAGCAAGAGCUUGCUCUUGUGGAAAGUGGCGGACGGGUGAGUAACAUGUAGGAAAUCUGCCCUUUAGCGGGGGACAACAGUUAGAAAUGGCUGCUAAUACCGCAUAAGCGCACGGUACUGCAUGGUACAGUGUGAAAAACUCCGGUGGUAUGAGAUGGACCCGCGUUGGAUUAG